AAUUCCCCGGUAAAUCAAUACCACUCGGUCCGCGACGCUUUCCUCUCCCUUCGCGAUGCCGACGAUUUCCUCGCGUUGCCUCCCUUCGCGCCGCCGCCUCCCUCGCGUCGGCCGUCGCCUCCCCCCACAUCGGCCGUCACCCCUCACCGGUGAGUAUCGUCCUCUCCCUCCCUCCCUCUCUAGCUGUUUCCUUUCUCUGACGAUGCGGAUCCCCGUCGGAUGGUGUGGAUCUAGGCGACCAACCUACCCUCGACCUCCUCUGCUGAUGCGGAUCCCCAGCGGGUGCUGACCGUGACGGGACCUCCCCGUGACCGUGCUCUGCUGCGUGGUGCGCGCCCCGCUCCGCGUUCGGCUGCCCGGCGGCGGCUCGCACCAAAACAGUUCAUGUUUUGAUGCAUCCAUACGAGCGCUUCCCAGUCGAUUCAAUGCAUCCAUGUUCGCGUUCGGUUCGGCGGCCAAAACAGUCGCCGUGUGCUCCGUCAGGCAUCAGCAUCAGGCUUCCCAAUCGAAAAAUGUGCAUCAGCAUCAGGCUUGUCCGUUAGUUAAGUUCAAAGAGGCAUUCCAUACCAGCGCGCAACAUCAUUCAGAUAUCCCACCACUACUCCUUGUUUCUAGUAUAAAUAAAUGUGCAUCCAAGUCACUCAUGAGGAGCAACAAGCUGGAGUAGCUAGCAACUCGAGGGAUGAAGACUAGUUGAUAGGCUAGCUUUCUCCUUCUGUGCCACUCAUAAAACAACAGCUAGGUAGCACCUUUUUGUUGCCAAGCAAUGCAAGAUCUAUCUGCUGAGAUCAAUCUGAAUACCUAAAAUAUCUAUCUGGCCGGUCAUCAGCUCGAUCUUAAGCAGGUGAUCUUCAUUUCACAUGCAUGCUUGUUCCUUACCAAAACUUGUUUCUUCCAAUUCUUUCUCAUAUAUCCUGCGCUUAGUGAUGGUUACUAAUCAGGGAUGCUCUUUAUUGAGCAACUAGUCUAGUCUAGUCUAGGGAUGCAAAUUUGCCCUCUAUAUUUUCUUGUCUUGUUUAUAUAUUGUGCUCAAAGAAAUCUGAUUUUUCUAUACUAACCUUGAACAACACUAUGGCCCGUCUUCCUUUAUCUACACGAACGCGGAAGAGAAAUUUGACAUUUAGAAAUGUGACAUCUGCCAUUAUGCUUAUGUACUAUUAUAUCUUGGCUUUAUUAGUACUAUCACAUAAGUGGAAGUGUUGGAAGAUAGAAAGGAGGAUAAAGGUUAAAGAACUUAGAAGUCAACGUAUGUACCAUCUAAUCUGUGAGAGCGAUGUUAAGUGUAUAAAUGACCUUCGCAUGGAUAGGAGAACAUUUCAUAUAUUGUGUGAUAUGCUUAGAGAUGUUGGUGGUUUGAGGGGUACAAGAAAUACACCAUUGGAAGAGAUAGUAGCGGCAUUCUUACACACACUGGCUCAUCAUGUGAAAAAUAGAACAAUAGAGGGUUUCUUCUUAAGGAGUGGUGAGACAGUGAGCAGAAACUUCAAUGCAUGCCUCCUAGCAGUAUUGAAGCUUCACCAAUUGCUCCUUAAGAAACCAGAACCUAUACCUGAGGGCUGCACAGACUUUAGAUGGAAUCACUUCAAGAGUUGUUUGGGUGCAUUGGAUGGCACACAUGUAAAGGUGACUGUCCCAACUAAGUUGAAGGGGAGAUAUAGGUCAAGAAAAGGAGAAAUUGUGACAAAUGUGUUGGGUGUUUGUGCACCUGACAUGCAGUUUAUAUAUGUCUUACCUGGUUGGGAGGGUUCUGCACAUGACGGGCGUGUGCUUCGAGAUGCCAUCUCGAGGCCGAAUGGAUUACGUGUCCCUCAAGGUUGCUAUUAUCUUGUUGAUGCUGGUUACACAAAUGCAAAUGGUUUCUUAGCACCAUAUCGAGGACAGAGGUAUCAUCUAGGAGGUUUCACUACUCAAAACCCACCACAUAGUGCUGAGGAGUACUUCAACUUGUGCCAUGCUAGAGCUAGGAAUAUUGUUGAGAGGGCAUUUGGAAGGCUCAAGGGUCGGUGGGCAAUUUUAAGGUCUGCAUCGUUUUUUCCAGUCAAGACUCAAAGUCGAAUUAUAAUGGCAUGUGCCCUCUUGCACAACUUAAUUUUGCAAAAUAUGUCUAGAGACCCAUUUGAAAAUGAUGAGGAGCCAGCUAUGGAUGCAUCAUUUGAAGUUAUGGAUGGAGAAAUCAGUGAACCAGAAUUUAUCACAGGUGUCUCAACAUCUAAUGAAUGGACUGAUUUCCGCAAUAAUCUUGCUCAGGGGAUGUAUAAUAGAUAUAGAGCUAGGUCUAAUAACUAAGGACAUGAACCAAUUAGAGAGCUCAAGUGUUACUCGGGGAAGAGGGAAAAACAAAAGGAUCUGGACUUAUUAUGAGGAUGAGGAGUUAAUUAAAGCACUAUAUGAGAUAUCUUUAGAUCCAAAGUGGAAAAGUGAGGGAGGUUUUAAGAAUGGGUAUUGUUCUGUUCUAGAAAAUGAACUCAAAGCAAGGCUACCAGGGUGUGGUCUCAGUGCUAUUCCACACAUUGAGUCUAGAGUGAGGCAUUUUAGGACCAAGUAUGGUUCUAUUGAGGUCAUGCUUGCUAAGAGUGGUUUUAAUCAGAUGACGAUGCUUUUCGCGCUUCCUGAGACUCUUAGGAGAGAAUUCAUCCUGAACAUGAUUGCAGAUGAAGCUCAAAGGAAGUGACUUGUCAAAUUAUCAAUGAAGAAUGUCAGGAGCAUUUGGUGAAGAGUGAUCGGCAUAUCAACUUCUGGAAGUUGAAUUUUGAAGACGUUUGAAGUCCUAAGACAUUUCUAGAACAUGAAAAUUAUGAAUUCCUAAGGCUAGCUUUUUUUGACUGACUGUGUUGUUGACUUUGUGUGAAAAUAACCCGUUGUUUGAAACCUAUUAUAUUUGCUAGCUUUAUUUGCUAUUCAGCAAGACAUAUAAAGUUGCUAGCUUUAUUGGUUGUCUGUGUUUUCAACUGUUUGUGAAAAUAACCAGUAUAAAGUUGUUGUUUAGAACAUGUUAUUUGUGCUAGCGCAAAGCUGAAAAUAAAAUCAGUAUUUUUGUGCGCCAUAA